GUGCUUGGGCGAGAGUAGUACUAGGAUGGGUGACCCCCUGGGAAGUCCUCGUGUUGCACCCCCCCCUUUUUUUGSAUUUUUUUUGCYUUUUUGCGGAAGGUGCCGAAAGGAAACGCGCGUACGAGUGAACAUGGCGUACAAAAAGAGCACKCGCGACGUAAAACUCACAACGUGCGGCGCCGAACAGUGGGAAUAUAGGCACAAAAUCGGAUAAUCACAACGGUUGGUAAUAUAGGAGUAAAAAGGGAGAAGGAAAA
rnacentral:rRNA from 1 species